rnacentral:lncRNA from 1 species
UGGGCCUUUGUAUUUGUGGCAUCUCUAAAUUCCUGAUUCCUUUCCUGGGAGCUCAUGUUCCUACACAGAUGAGAUGGAGACAAUAGAGAUAGAGGCCUUUCUAAAGAAAGUGAAUGGGUGGCAGUUAGCAGAGCCUGGAGAGCAGGAUCCAGAUGGGCAUAAGGAUUAUUUUGUCAUUGCCACUGUGCAUGUCUUGUGCACCUACUUCCUCAACCUCCUCAGUGACCAUCCCUUUCACUGCAUUAGGAAAGGAGUCAGGGAGAGGCAGAACCUCAGGGGCACAAACACCACAGUCACUCUAAAGGACCCUGAAACCACAAGGAGGUUUUAGCCCAAGGGAACACCCUGAGUAUCUGGUAUAUCAUCUACCUCUCCAAAUGAAAGCCUCUGACUGUGCUGUGUAACAUGGACACUGAUAGUGGGAGAUGAUGGACUGUGAGUAGAAACUAAACAAAUGAAAACCCACUUACUGCUCCUCCCCCAAAAGCCUGGUACAAUCCUCCCCUCCUCUCACUUCCCUUUCUGUGUUCC